rnacentral:rRNA from 1 species
UACGAAGGGGGCUAGCGUUACUCGGAUUUACUGGGCGUAAAGGGCGCGUAGGCGGACAGUUAAGUUGGGGGUGAAAGCCCGGGGCUCAACCUCGGAAUUGCCUUCAAUACUGGCUGUCUUGAGUGUGAGAGAGGUGUGUGGAACUCCGAGUGUAGAGGUGAAAUUCGUAGAUAUUCGGAAGAACACCAGUGGCGAAGGCGACACACUGGCUCACUACUGACGCUGAGGCGCGAAAGCGUGGGGAGCAAACAGG